rnacentral:snoRNA from 1 species
AAGACUAUACUUUCAGGGAUCUUUGCUAUGGUUGGUUGCUAGAGAAGUUUCUCUGACUUUGCAGAGCUCUGGAAACCACAGGGAGGAGGUGCAGCCUUCUCUCCUGAGCAGGAAGCCAGCUCUUGGUGGUGUUUGGCUGCAUCUGCCAUUUGCCAUUUCUGAUCCUUCUUCCUUUGGGAAAGUAAGAGGGAGAGGACCCAGUCUGAGUGGU